rnacentral:rRNA from 1 species
UACAGAGGGUGCCAGCGUUGUUCGGAAUUAUUGGGCGUAAAGCGCGUGUAGGCGGCUUUGCAAGUCGGGUGUGAAAGCCCUCGGCUCAACCGAGGAAGUGCGCCCGAAACUGCAGAGCUUGAGUACCGGAGAGGAUGGCGGAAUUCCCCAAGUAGAGGUGAAAUUCGUUGAUAUGGGGAGGAACACCGGUGGCGAAGGCGGCCAUCUGGACGGAUACUGACGCUGAGACGCGAAAGCGUGGGUAGCAAACAGG